GAUAAGGUUAAGUGAAUAAGGGCGCACGGUGGAUGCCUUGGCACUAGGAGCCGAUGAAGGACGGGACUAACACCGAUAUGCUUUGGGAAGCUGUACGUAAGCUAUGAUCCAGAGAUUUCCGAAUGGGGGAACCCAGCAUCUUUAAUAGGAUGUUACGAUUGUGUAAAUACAUAGCACAUUCGAGG
rnacentral:rRNA from 1 species